UGCGUAGGUGGCGUCGUAAGUCGGGUGUGAAAUCUCGGGGCUUAACUCCGAAACUGCAUUCGAUACUGCGGUGCUUGAGGACUGGAGAGGAGACUGGAAUUUACGGUGUAGCAGUGAAAUGCGUAGAGAUCGUAAGGAAGACCAGUGGCGAAGGCGGGUCUCUGGACAGUUCCUGACACUGAGGCACGAAGGCCAGGGGAGGCAAACG
rnacentral:rRNA from 1 species